rnacentral:rRNA from 1 species
AAAUUGAAGAGUUUGAUCAUGGCUCAGAUUGAACGCUGGCGGCAGGCCUAACACAUGCAAGUCGAACGGUAACAGGAAGAAGCUUGCUUCUUUGCUGACGAGUGGCGGACGGGUGAGUAAUGUCUGGGAAACUGCCUGAUGGAGGGGGAUAACUACUGGAAACGGUAGCUAAUACCGCAUAACGUCGCAAGACCAAAGAGGGGGACCUUCGGGCCUCUUGCCAUCGGAUGUGCCCAGAUGGGAUUAGCUUGUUGGUGGGGUAACGGCUCACCAAGGCGACGAUCCCUAGCUGGUCUGAGAGGAUGACCAGCCACACUGGAACUGAGACACGGUCCAGACUCCUACGGGAGGCAGCAGUGGGGAAUAUUGCACAAUGGGCGCAAGCCUGAUGCAGCCAUGCCGCGUGUAUGAAGAAGGCCUUCGGGUUGUAAAGUACUUUCAGCGGGGAGGAAGGGAGUAAAGUUAAUACCUUUGUUCAUUGACGUUACCCGCAGAAGAAGCACCGGCUAACUCCGUGCCAGCAGCCGCGGUAAUACGGAGGGUGCAAGCGUUAAUCGGAAUUACUGGGCGUAAAGCGCACGCAGGCGGUUUGUUAAGUCAGAUGUGAAAUCCCCGGGCUCAACCU